AGAAUGAGGAAGGGUGCGGAGUCGAAAUAGAGCUCCUGAUUAAGGGAAAUAUACUUUACAAAAGUAGAGUAAAGAUUUUGUUUUUGUAGUGAUUCAAGAGGGGAGAUUUUGAUUGAUAACAUCCAGUAAUUAUUUUCGUUUCAAAGGAUUUUGUUUUUUGAGUUUCGCGAGGGAAUACUGGAUAUGGUUGGAUGUUUUCUUUGAUGGGAGCUGACCGAAUCGAGUCUGAGAGGAGACCAGAGUUACCAGAACUGGAAAUGUACCUUUUUAAGGAUUUCAGAAGACAUUGUGGACAGUGAUCUACUGCUACGUCGUUGGAUUUGAGAUAAGUGAUUGAGAACUGAUCUCAAAAGAUUUGAACAGGUUUGAACCUACUCCAGAAAGAGGAUAUAUUUAGUACAGUGAAUGUGGAUUAUAGUUAAUUCAUUGUGUGAGUAACAGAGAGUAUACCACCAAGGAUUCAUUUGAGUACCAGUGUUAUUUUCAUUUCAAUUUUAUAUUGGAAUCUGUUUUAUUUACGUUGUGAUUUGUUUAUUUUUUCUUUUAUUUUGUUUUAUUAUGUUUUAUAUACUUAGGGGGGUAAUUUGAUUAAAAGUAUACUUGCUAUAAAACCUGA